rnacentral:rRNA from 1 species
CUACCAUGCAGUCGAACGAUGAACUCCAGCUUGCUGGGGGGAUUAGUGGCGAACGGGUGAGUAACACGUGAGUAACCUGCCCUUGACUCUGGGAUAAGCGUUGGAAACGACGUCUAAUACCGGAUACGACCCGCGAAGGCAUCUUCUUCGGGUGGAAAGAAUUUUGGUCAAGGAUGGACUCGCGGCCUAUCAGGUAGUUGGUGAGGUAAUGGCUCACCAAGCCUACGACGGGUAGCCGGCCUGAGAGGGUGACCGGCCACACUGGGACUGAGACACGGCCCAGACUCCUACGGGAGGCAGCAGUGGGGAAUAUUGCACAAUGGGCGAAAGCCUGAUGCAGCAACGCCGCGUGAGGGAUGACGGCCUUCGGGUUGUAAACCUCUUUUAGCAGGGAAGAAGCGAAAGUGACGGUACCUGCAGAAAAAGCACCGGCUAACUACGUGCCAGCAGCCGCGGUAAUACGUAGGGUGCAAGCGUUGUCCGGAAUUAUUGGGCGUAAAGAGCUCGUAGGCGGUUUGUCGCGUCUGCUGUGAAAACUGGAGGCUCAACCUCCAGCCUGCAGUGGGUACGGGCAGACUAGAGUGCGGUAGGGGAGAUUGGAAUUCCUGGUGUAGCGGUGGAAUGCGCAGAUAUCAGGAGGAACACCGAUGGCGAAGGCAGAUCUCUGGGCCGUAACUGACGCUGAGGAGCGAAAGGGUGGGGAGCAAACAGGCUUAGAUACCCUGGUAGUCCACCCCGUAAACGUUGGG